rnacentral:misc_RNA from 1 species
AGCUGGAAAUGCGGACGCAGGAAGAAUUUCGCGUCGUAAUAACCUGGAUUGCCUUCGACCUCUUCCACCACUACUUCAGCGGCAGCCAGCGGACGACGGGCUUUAGUUUCUUGCGAGGAGUUCACCGGAUCGGCGUCGACAUAAUUCAUAAUCCAUUCAUUUAGCCAGCGCUGCAUAUCCUCACGCUCUUUAAAGGAACCGAUUUUGUCGCGGACGAUACAUUUGAGGAAGUGAGCGAAGCGCGAGCAGGCGAACAGGUACGGUAGACGGGCAGACAGGUUAGCG